rnacentral:rRNA from 1 species
UCCUUCGGGAGCCUAGUAGAGUGGCAAACGGGUGAGUAACGCGUGGGUAACGUACCCUGAUCCUGGGAAUAAGCCUCGGAAACGAGGGCUAAUACCGAAUGUGGCGAACGACCGGUUGGUCGCUCGCUAAAGGUGGCCUCUUCUAUGCUGCCGGGUUGGGAUCGGCCCGCGUCCCAUUAGCUAGUUGGUGAGGUAACGGCUCACCAAGGCCACGAUGGGUAGCCGGCCUGAGAGGGUGUACGGCCACACUGGCACUGAGACAAGGGCCAGUCCCCUAUGGGAGGCACAGGCGGGAAUAGUUCACAAUGGGCGAAAGCCUGAUGACGCGACGCCGCGUGAGCGAAGAAGACCUUCGGGUUGUAAAGCUCUGUCAGGAGGGAAGAAGGCUCUACGGGUUAAUAGCCCGUGGAAUUGACGGUACCUCCAGAGGAAGCCCCGGCUAAAUACCGUGCCAGCAGCCGCGGUACUACGUAUGGGGCAAGCGUUGUCCGGAUUUACUGGGCGUAAAGGGCGC